AGAAGAGUCCCUUCCCAUGGACCAUAUUCUAGCCUUCAAGAAACAUGAGAUUUUCACCCAGAAAAGCUGGAAAUGGGCUCCAAACUUCUAAUACAGACUGCUGCUGCUUCAAAAUCAAGAUACUUCCAAAAGCAGAGACAGGAGAAAAGGAGAGAGAGAGAGAAAGAGAGCAUGAGCAGGGGCGGGGCAGAAGGAGAUGGAGGGAAUCUCAAGCAGACUUCCAGCUGACCAUGGAGCCCCACUCAGAACUCAAUCCCACAACCCUGAGAUCACAACCUGAGCUGAAAGCAAGAGUCAGAUGCUCAACAGACAGAGCUACCCAGGUGCCCUGGUUCAUAUUAUCUUUAAAUGUCAAUACCUUGAUUGAGAGGUAUAUAUGCCUGACCACCUAGAGGCUAGGUAGUUUUUAAUAAAAAUGGGUAAAACUCAUUUUGUUUUCCCAAAUAUCCUAAAGUCACACCUGUAUUGCACCUGCCAUGUUCUUAUUAUAUAGGUAUC